GACGAACGCUGGCGGCGCGCUUAACACAUGCAAGUCGAACGGAAAGGCCUGCUUUCCCUUGUGGAUUGCGGGUACUCGAGUGGCGAACGGGUGAGUAACACGUGAGUGAUCUGCCCCCAACUUGGGUAUAAGCCUGGGAAACUGGGUCUAAUUCCCGAUAGGACUGCAGGGUGGUGCCUGUGGUGGAAAACGAUUUUCUAGUGGUUGGGGAUGAGCUCGCGGCCUAUCAGCUUGUUGGUGGGGUAAUGGCCUACCAAGGCGGCGACGGGUAGCCGGCCUGGGAGGGUGGACGGCGACAUUGGGACUGAGAUACGGCCCAGACUCCUACGGGAGGCAGCAGUGGGGAAUAUGGCACAAUGGGCGGAAGCCUGAUGCAGCGACGCCGCGGGGGGGAUGACGGCCUUCGGGUUGUAAACUCCUUGCGACAGCGAGGAAGCCACCUGGUUGGAAGGGUGGUGACGGUAGUGGUAGAAGAAGCACCGGCUAACUACGUG
rnacentral:rRNA from 1 species